ensembl:lncRNA
GGAAAGCAAAACAGGCCCAAGCUCCACCCAAAAGACCACAGCACUGCUGACAUCCACCGAAAAGACCACAGCACUCCUCAGGUCCACCCAAAAGGCCACAGCGCACCCCAUAAGGCCAGAAUUAUAUUCACAUCCCGUAAGUAACAUUCUUUCACUUCUUCCUAUAAACUGAACUUAUGUUAUGUAUUACUAAAACCCUCAUGUAUUACUUAAAAUGACUUACCCAGAUGACUACAAUGAAGCUAGAAGAAAACUUCCUCAAGCUGUUGAUCACACUGACAUUGGAAGUGAUGGAGGGAACUCACCAAUUCAAUUUAAAAGAAAAAGUAUGUAAGGGGAAGAAUGUGUUUUAUUUUAUUUUUAAAUUAUUUGGUGGUGCACAACAUUUACUAAUAAUUGCAUAUCUUGAAUUUAUGGAAUAUGUUCUUAGACCUAAAAACAAUAUUUUCCCUGGAGAGGAUGAUGAUGAGAUGGAAAGCACUCUGAAAGAAAAAAAAGUCAAAGAAAGUAAAGUUGCCCAAUGCUCCAAAGAUCGUGAGGCAGCACAAAGGUCCUUCCUUAGAACCAGUAAAGCAAAACAGCCCCAAGCUUGACCAGAGGCCACAGAGCUCCUCAGGUCCACCCAAAAGGCCACAGCACUGCUGACCUCCACCCAAAAGACCACAGGACUCCUGACCUCCAUCGAAGAGGCCACAGCAGUCCUGAGCUUUACCCAAGUGACGACAGCACUCCUGAGCUCUACCCAAGAGGCCUCAACAGUCAUAAGCUCCAUUCAAGUCAGCACUAUAGCACCAAGUUAUCUUCAAGCAGGCACACCAUCACUGAGCGCUGUACAUCGAGGCACGUCAGCCCUGAGAUUCGUCCAUUAAGGCAUGCCAGCAGUGAGAUUCACACAUCAAGCAACACCAGCAGUGAGAUAAGUAGACCAAAUCAUGCCAGCAGGGAAAUUCUUAGAUCAUGCCAUGCCAGCUCUGAUAUCCGUAGACCAUGCCACACUGCACCUUCUCCAGACCCAUUGAAACAUACUGAGCCACACCAGUCCAGGGAGCAGACAUCUAGUUUGCAAUCAUGUGAGUAUAUUAAUGUUUAUUAUAGUUAUGUUUGUUUUUAGUAUUUUUUUUCUCUCUGGCAAAUUACUUCAGCUAUUUUGACUUCUUAUUUUUUCUUACAUUCUUUCUUAUACAAAAAUGACUAAACGUUAAAACUUAGAUGUACGUAUGUUUGUGCCAACAACUUCCAAAAAUUCAUUUCUCAAGAAUGUUUUGUUGAGAUGUUGUAAUUUGUGAUUAUACAGAAUAGUGCUGAUGGUGAUUAAUCC